GGGAGCAGGAGCAGCUCCUGCCUGGCUGCGGUGAGGCUGGAUUCCAUGAAGACCAGAAGCACCCCACUUCCACAUCAGCUUUUCACCAUCUCCCCAGCUCUCAGCAGAUUGGGUCAGGAACUCUUACAGAUGCUGCUCCCCCUUUGAUCAGCUUCUCAGCUAAUAAAUCCCUGGCAGGGCUUUGGGAAGCUGGAUGUACAACUCAGACCUGUCAGCGGGAGAAAAUCCCCAUGGAGCUGGGCUGGGAUUCUCCUGUUCUUGGAGGGAAUGCCGGAGGCUCAGGUUUUGCAUCUGGCUGAUGUGAAGGAAAGUCCUUUUGAUGUGGUUCCUUGGCCCAAGAACCUGCAAACCACCGUUAACCCCCAGUUCACGCUUGCAAGCGGAUCGGGUUGAUUUCAGCAUCGCUGCUGUGAGUUCUCAAACCUCUCAUUAGCUGCUGCUUGCUGCAUUUCCUUCACUAAUAAAAAGGAAUUGCUUGGCUCAACCACCAGGCAUCGAUGAAGCUGUGUCUGUGAUUCUCCACCAUCUCCACCAGGUAGCCCUGUUUGCGGCAAGGAAACCAAGAUCUGCUGUGAUCUGCACCGAAAUUGAAGUGGGACCUCAGGAAGUUGAAUGAAGAAUCAACAAGGUUGGAAAAGAGCUUUAAGCUCAUCAAGACCAACCGUUCCCAGCACUGCCAAGGCCACCACUAACCCAUGGCACUGAAGGCCUUGGCUACACGGGGUGUGAACACUUGCAGGCACGGUGACUCCAGCCCUGCCCUGGGCAGCCUGUUCCAAUGCCUGAGCAUCCUUUGGGGAAGGAAUUGUUCCUCAUCUCCAGUUUAACCCUCCCCUGGAGGUAUUGCCUCUUUCCUAGCUGCUCUCAGCCAUCACAGCACAUUCUGCUGACUUCAGUGAACCCAUCAAUCUGAUUAUCUGCUGUGGCAAAGAGACAAGUUCAACUCAAUUAACAUUUAUGGAUUCCACAGUGCUUUGCAUAAAUGUUUGCUUAAUACACAAGUCAAAAAUAUCCCCAGAAAAUGAAAAUUAAAGAUAGUUAAUUGCUUGCAGCUAUGCAC
rnacentral:lncRNA from 1 species